GUCCAUCUGAGAUUGAGGUAUAUUCUAAUUGGAAUGAUAGAGAAGAUGAGCAUGGCCUCUAUACAAGGAUGACACACAAAAUCACGAUGUAGUCCAUUUUUUA
ensembl:snRNA U6 U6 spliceosomal RNA